rnacentral:tRNA from 1 species
UGAACUAUGGUGUAAUGGUAGCACAACUGAUUUUGGUUCAGUUAGUCUUGGUUCGAAUCCAGGUAGUUCAA